UCGGGUAUGGUGUAGCGGUAACAUCGUUGACUCUCACUUCUCAGAAGUGUCUGCUCUAUCUCUCAACAGCCCCGGGUUCGACUCCCGGUAUCCGAG